CCUACGGGAGGCAGCAGUGAGGAAUAUUGGUCAAUGGUCGGGAGACUGAACCAGCCAAGCCGCGUGAGGGAUGAAGGUACAGAGUAUCGUAAACCUCUUUUGUCAGGGAACAAAGGCGGGGACGUGUCCCCGGUUGAGUGUACCUUAAGAAAAAGCAUCGGCUAACUCCGUGCCAGCAGCCGCGGUAAUACGGAGGAUGCGAGCGUUAUCCGGAUUUAUUGGGUUUAAAGGGUGCGCAGGUGGUCUGUUAAGUCAGCGGUUAAAGUCUGGGGCUCAACCCCGGCCCCGCGGUUGAAACUGGCAGUCUCGAGUUGGAGAGAAGUAUGCGGAAUGCGCGGUGUAGCGGUGAAAUGCAUAGAUAUCGCGCAGAACUCCGAUUGCGAAGGCAGCAUGCCGGCUCCACACUGACGCUGAGGCACGAAAGCGUGGGUAUCGAACAGGAUUAGAUACCCGAGUAGUC
rnacentral:rRNA from 1 species